CCUGGUGGCUCAGAUGGAAAAGAAUCUGCCUGCAAUGCAGAAGACCCGGGUUCAAUCCCUGGGUCAGGA
rnacentral:tRNA from 1 species